AGGCAUCUUUUAACAAUCAAAGGAGCAAUCCGCUAUGAGAUGGGCCCGCGGCGCAUUAGCUAGUUGGUGAGGUAACGGCUCACCAAGGCGACGAUGCGUAGCCGACCUGAGAGGGUGAUCGGCCACAUUGGAACUGAGACACGGUCCAGACUCCUACGGGAGGCAGCAGUGGGGAAUAUUGCACAAUGGGGGAAACCCUGAUGCAGCAACGCCGCGUGAGUGAUGAAGGUCUUCGGAUUGUAAAGCUCUGUCUUUAGGGACGAUAAUGACGGUACCUAAGGAGGAAGCCA
rnacentral:rRNA from 1 species